GGGCCCGCACAAGCGGUGGAGCAUGUGGUUUAAUUCGAUGAUACGCGAGGAACCUUACCAAGGCUUAAAUGUAAAGCGAUCGGUUGAGAAAUCAGCCUUUCUUCGGACGAUUUACAAGGUGCUGCAUGGUUGUCGUCAGCUCGUGCCGUGAGGUGUCGGGUUAAGUCCCCAUAACGAGCGCAACCCUAUUUCUAGUUGCCAGCGAGUAAUGUCGGGAACUCUAGAAAGACUGCCUGUGCAAACAGAGAGGAAGGUGGGGAUGACGUCAAAUCAUCACGGCCCUUAUGUCUUGGGCUACACACGUGCUACAAUGGUUAUUACAAUGGGAAGCCAUCUGGUGACAGA
rnacentral:rRNA from 1 species